rnacentral:rRNA from 1 species
AUUGAACUUUGGCGGCAUGCCUUACACAUGCAAGUCGAACGGCAGCACGGAGCUUGCUCUGGUGGCGAGUGGCGAACGGGUGAGUAAUAUAUCGGAACGUACCCUAGAGUGGGGGAUAACGUAGCGAAAGUUACGCUAAUACCGCAUACGAUCUAAGGAUGAAAGUGGGGGAUCGCAAGACCUCAUGCUCGUGGAGCGGCCGAUAUCUGAUUAGCUAGUUGGUAGGGUAAAAGCCUACCAAGGCAUCGAUCAGUAGCUGGUCUGAGAGGACGACCAGCCACACUGGAACUGAGACACGGUCCAGACUCCUACGGGAGGCAGCAGUGGGGAAUUUUGGACAAUGGGCGAAAGCCUGAUCUAGCAAUGCCGCGUGAGUGAAGAAGGCCUUCGGGUUGUAAAGCUCUUUUGUCAGGGAAGAAACGGUGAAAGCUAAUAUCUUUUGCUAAUGACGGUACCUGAAGAAUAAGCACCGGCUAACUACGUGCCAGCAGCCGCGGUAAUACGUAGGGUGCAAGCGUUAAUCGGAAUUACUGGGCGUAAAGCGUGCGCAGGCGGUUUUGUAAGUCUGAUGUGAAAUCCCCGGGCUCAACCUGGGAAUUGCAUUGGAGACUGCAAGGCUAGAAUCUGGCAGAGGGGGGUAGAAUUCCACGUGUAGCAGUGAAAUGCGUAGAUAUGUGGAGGAACACCGAUGGCGAAGGCAGCCCCCUGGGUCAAGAUUGACGCUCAUGCACGAAAGCGUGGGGAGCAAACAGGAUUAGAUACCCUGGUAGUCCACGCCCUAAACGAUGUCUACUAGUUGUCGGGUCUUAAUUGACUUGGUAACGCAGCUAACGCGUGAAGUAGACCGCCUGGGGAGUACGGUCGCAAGGUUAAAACUCAAAGGAAUUGACGGGGACCCGCACAAGCGGUGGAUGAUGUGGAUUAAUUCGAUGCAACGCGAAAAACCUUACCUACCCUUGACAUGGCUGGAAUCCUUGAGAGAUCAGGGAGUGCUCGAAAGAGAACCAGUACACAGGUGCUGCAUGGCUGUCGUCAGCUCGUGUCGUGAGAUGUUGGGUUAAGUCCCGCAACGAGCGCAACCCUUGUCAUUAGUUGCUACGAAAGGGCACUCUAAUGAGACUGCCGGUGACAAACCGGAGGAAGGUGGGGAUGACGUCAAGUCCUCAUGGCCCUUAUGGGUAGGGCUUCACACGUCAUACAAUGGUACAUACAGAGCGCCGCCAACCCGCGAGGGGGAGCUAAUCGCAGAAAGUGUAUCGUAGUCCGGAUUGUAGUCUGCAACUCGACUGCAUGAAGUUGGAAUCGCUAGUAAUCGCGGAUCAGCAUGUCGCGGUGAAUACGUUCCCGGGUCU